UCUUGCCUGCUGUGUGCAAUGCGACACAGGUUCAGACUGAUGAAGAUACAACGCAGAGGCACAGUGCCAAGGUUGCUUUUCUGUGAGAUGGAUGGUGAAGAUUCACUUACAGAGAAAUAGAAGCUAUCCUGAGAAGACAUACUGACCACAUUGUGUCCCAAGAGAAAUAAAAGCUGAUUUUUGGAAGAAGCAAUCCUGAGGAGUGCAGAGUACCUGCUUUUGUUACUGAAGUCUAUAGGAGUUGUACUGCACCAAACAAGAGCAAGCCUCUUUCGUUAGUCUUUGGGUUUUCAAUCGUGGCAGCACCAUGUAUGAUGUAACUGAUACCAUAAGGGAAUUUUGACAUCGGAACCAUGGCCUUAGGUAAGAAUAAAAGAUACUGAAAUACCGAUUGAGUCCAAUUCUUUCACCAUUUAACCAAUAAACAACUCUUCCCACUCCUGUCUGAAAUAGCUUUCUUCCUCAUGGAGACAAGUCAGAAAAAGAAAUUGCUGUAGAAGAUAUGACAUUAAAAAUAUAUAUGACCAAUUCAAACCUAACUAUUUCUUGGGGAGAGGCUGAUACAGAA